GCCGGGCGAGGUGGCGGGCGCCUGUAGUCCCAGCUACUCGGGAGGCUGAGGCAGGAGAAUGGCGCAAACCCGGGAGGCGGAGCUUGCAGUGAGCUGAGAUCCGGCCACUGCACUCCAGCCUGGGCAACAGGGCGAGACUCCGUCUACAAAAAAAAAAAAGAAACAGAGUUUUGCUCUUAUCACCCAGGCUGGAGUGCAAUGGCUCGAUCUUGGUUCACUGCAACCUCCACCACCCAGGUUCAAGCGAUUCUCCUGCCUCAG
rnacentral:SRP_RNA from 1 species